rnacentral:lncRNA from 1 species
AGGCUUUUCGAUAGCAAUGGGUAACAAUGAUACACUCUAUAAAUUUAGAUAAUCCGAUAUAGCUUCUAUUUUUACAGCUGAAGCCUUGGCAAUAGGGGAAUGUCUCAAUUUAAUCGAGAGAAAAGAUCCAGGUAAUUUCAGUAUCUUUUCCGACUCUCUUAGUGUUUUAUUAGCAAUUUCCAGUAAAUUAAAAAUUAACUCAACAAAAUACAUAGUGUGGUAUCUAAAAAAUAAACUCUAUCAGUUAGAAAAUGCAGGCAAAAUAGUCAAUUUAUACUGGGUACCAGCACAUAGAGGUAUUACAGGUAACGGAAAAGCAGAUUCAAGGGCCAAAGAUGCGAUACGUAAUGGUGUUGAUUCUCAGCUAUUACUCAUAAUUGCAGGUCUAAAAAGUUAUUGGAAAAAUAAAAUGUACAAAUAGUUUAAUAACUUUUGCACUGAAACAGGUAGAGAAAAAGGAAAUUAUUAUUUCAGUCACUUGUAUGAUCCAGCCCCAUCACAGUGGUUUAAUGAGUGGCCUAUUAAUCAACGUGGGAUUUGUACAAUCAACAGACUUCGUUCUGGACAUAAUUCUUUAAAUAUAUCAUUAAAAAAAAUAAAUGUUAUUCCUUCGAGUCUAUGUGAAUGUGACAAAGAAGAUGAAACUCUAGAUCACGUUUUAUGGUCUUGUGAACUACAGAAGAAAGAGAGAGAAAAGCUGAUAAAGAUUUUAACGAAAAACGGCUUCGUGGUGUGCGUAAUAUUACAGUCGGUGGACAAAGAUGCAACAAACGUCGAUCGAUCCUAUAUAGAUGAACAAGAAGGUGUCCCCACGUAAUACUUUUCUCCUACUGCUGACAACUUAAUCUCUGUAAAUUUACGAGCUACUCCCAGAAAUGCAGCAUUCAAAUCAUCAACAACCAUUCCUUCACCAAGAUCAAAAUGAUGCAGAUUCAUCAAACUGCUAGCUCCCAUAACACCGAAAACACUGAAUCUACCGGAUAUAUCAACCAUGACCAUUGCUUUCAACCUCUUCCGGAACACCGUUUUUCUAAAAAAUGAACGAAGUAAGUUACCCGAACUCGAUACCUAUGAAUUUGAAGGAAAAAACUCAACAAACGCUGGAAUCAUCAGUCUGGGAACGUUCUGAACGAGAUAUUUUUCAACGAGGAUCCUCUAUCAUUAGAUGAUGAAGAAUUCCAAACAAUCCUUAGAAAUAUUAAAUUCAACCUCGACUGGCAAGUUCUUCGAUACUGAAAAAUAUGCUAAGUAUUGGAAACAAAAAUAUGACGAUCUUCUGAAGUCCAAGUCAUUUCCAAUGACAGAGAAAACUGGAUAAAAACUCAUUGAAAUACUUGAUCGAUUUGAUUUGCAAAAACCGUUCAAUGAUUUGGUACAGUCCAGCCAGAAAUCAACUGUUGAUGAAAUAUCAGUUUCAGAUAAGGCAAUGCCUCUAACUGCACCUAGUAAAGAUGGAGUUAAGCCAAAAAAAAUAUAGUUACUGAUAAUUUAGAAAAUAAUCAACCUCCAAAUACACCUGAGAUUAACGAAUUAUGCAACAAAACUUUUAACACUGCAGCUGACUGUGCAAAUCAAGUGCGAUCAAUUAGUCCAGUCAAAAAACUUCGAAGUUCGAUGGUUUUUUUAUCUUUUUUUUUUUUUAAAGACAAAUUUUAAUAUUAUUGAAAACUCAUGAUUUAAAAACUUUAUGAACAUUUACUUUUGUUGUUGUUUUUCAAAAAUUACUAAUCUUUAUUGUAAUCGUGUACACGUGUCACAAGAAUUUUUGUUUUUCAAAUUUUUCACUUGCAUUAUUCAACAAUUAGUAUAUUGUUUUAAUUUUUAAUUUAUAAAAAAUACAUUAAGAUAUAUAUGAAAACAUUAAUUUAGUAUACAUACAAGCUGUAUUCAGUCUUGUCAUUGAAAUCGGUCAACUAUUGAAGCUAGUAUCCAUUUGUUAAUAUUAAUUUAACAAUAAACAAUUGCUUUUGUUAUUAUUUUUCGGCCGCGGAUGCUUCGAAAAUGAAAAUAAAGAUAUAUAUUUAAAGAAGACAGAUAUAGUAGGAACCGAAUGAACGAGCGUGGCCGAGUGUAACCGAGUGUGAGCGCGACAACAAUAUAUUUCCCUCUCAACUUUCCCCUGAAACUUUUAGCUCCCCCACUACUUACAACGAUUACGCGAUUAAUUUAAACUUUGAACCCUGAUAUGAAAUCAACUCUUCUAUAAAAAAAAAAACUAAAAAAACCAAAAAAUUGCAAAUUUUUUUCUCUACAAAAAGUUACUAAACUUUAUCCCUGUAAAAUUAUUUUUUCUAUGUGUUUUUUAAAAAAUAAACUUUAUUUAUUUUUUUUCAACCCUUUCCCGGGGGUUGAUGCAAUUUUUUUUGACAUAUCUUUAAUCAGCUCGUCACAAGAAAUCUGCCCAUAUUUUUCAUUUCUUUUGUUGAGAAAUUCGACGAACUUCGAAGUUUUUUGACUGGACUAAAUGUGGACUCAAAAAGAAUUAAAGGAUCGAGUUGUACGUCAGACUCGGGGUAUUUCAAAGAAGGUUUCAACUCCAGAAAAAGUGGUGAAAGGAAAAGAAAUGUUUGCAACCUGGCUAAAAAAAGUUGGUUACAUGAAAGAUGCCCGGAACAUCCUAAAGAAAAAAAAGCAGUCCUGUCAUGGCGUCGCAUUCUGCGUGCGCAUCCAAAUUUGAACUUGGCGUCUCACUUUUUAAACUUAGCGCCUUAUUUUUAAAUUUACUGGAAUCUGAUUGGGGUAUUAGAAGGUCACGUGCAUGUCGUAUAAAUUGAUAUAGGUGGCGCUAAUUGCAUAUACAUAUGUAUGUGUGUGUUGACAUAUGUGAUUAUAACAACAUUUUAUAUCUGUCAAAAAAUAUUAAUGCCCAUAACCUUCAAACGAUUUACCAAUAUUUGAUUGAAUUGUUAUAAAUAAAAAAAUAGUUAAUGUGUUAUAAAUAAAAAAACAACGAAAAAUUAAAAAAAAAAACUACAUUCAAACACAAAAAAAAAAAGAUAGAUUCAUUUUUAAAUAGGGCACGCGAACCUGUAAGAAUGAAAUCAAGAUUUGUACAUUUUAAUUGACAAGAACAAAGUAUUGUUAAUUAAAAUUUUGGAGUAAACAGAUUUUUUUAUUUAAUCAUUAUUGAAGUACGAAACC